AGUCUCCCUGUAUAGUAAUCAGAGCCUGGUUUUGGAGAUGACCAGCACAGAGACAUCUUUAGGUCCACAGCUAAGAAACGAUUGCCAUGUUCCUAUGGCAUAUAACGUUGAGAGUAUGCCCUCUACACUGUGCUGAACACUGCAUUUAAUUUCCCUCAGAUGAGCUUUUCUAUUUUCUUCAUUAAAAGCUUGACAUUCCUGCGAUCAGAUUGGUGAGCAGUUUGAGACAGAGAGGCAAGGCAGUGGCCAAAAGAAUUCAAAGUGGCUUUACACUUUUUCCCAAGCAUUCUGCUCAGUCAGCACCUGUGCCGGUAUACAUUGAAGAUCAGGAGCAGAUUGAUGCAAUCCACUCUCACCUGACUUCAAUUCUGGACAGCACACCCACAGUGACCAGAUCAAAUUCAUCAUGGAUGU